rnacentral:rRNA from 1 species
AUUGAACGCUGGCGGCAUGCUUUACACAUGCAAGUCGAACGGCAGCGCGGGCUUCGGCCUGGCGGCGAGUGGCGAACGGGUGAGUAAUGCAUCGGAACGUGCCCAGUAGCGGGGGAUAGCCCGGCGAAAGCCGGAUUAAUACCGCAUACGACCUGAGGGUGAAAGCGGGGGACCGAAAGGCCUCGCGCUAUUGGAGCGGCCGAUGUCGGAUUAGCUAGUUGGUGGGGUAAAGGCUUACCAAGGCGACGAUCCGUAGCUGGUCUGAGAGGACGACCAGCCACACUGGGACUGAGACACGGCCCAGACUCCUACGGGAGGCAGCAGUGGGGAAUUUUGGACGAUGGGGGCAACCCUGAUCCAGCCAUGCCGCGGGCGGGAAGAAGGCCUUCGGGUUGUAAACCGCUUUUGUUCGGGAAGAAAUCCUCUGGGCUAAUACCCCGGGGGGAUGACGGUACCGGAAGAAUAAGCACCGGCUAACUACGUG